rnacentral:lncRNA from 1 species
AUUUGGUUUGCUCUAAUUGGCUUCCAGAUGCUUUGUUGACAUACUAUACCCAAUAUCAUCUACAGUACAAUGAAAUAGGUUUGGCUAAUUUCCUGUGAAAUGACGGUGCCAUAAAACAAAAUGCCAUACCCCUUAAGAAUGUUGUCAGAUAAAUUACCAUUUUUAAUUCAAACAUUACUUUUCAUUAUUAAGUUUUUUUCUCAUUCUGGAGAUAAGAUAGUGUAUUUUUAUAAAGAUACAAGAUGGCAUUGUCUCCUUUGUUUUGCUCUUCUUAAGAAGCUCAAUGUUUCAAACAAAUAUAUUGUUUAUUUUUUCAAUAAAUAAGGGAACAUUUCAAGAUAUUCACUAUAUAGUUUAUCUGGAGGCACGGCAGUGCCGCCACCAAGUCGAGCAGCAUAGCCGUAACAUCCUUUUCUGGAAG